rnacentral:rRNA from 1 species
UACGGAGGGUGCAAGCGUUAUCCGGAUUCACUGGGUUUAAAGGGUGCGUAGGCGGAUAGGUAAGUCCGUGGUGAAAUCCUGCAGCUUAACUGCAGAACUGCCAUGGAUACUAUUUAUCUUGAAUGUCGUGGAGGUUAGCAGAAUAUGUCAUGUAGCGGUGAAAUGCUUAGAUAUGACAUAGAAUACCCAUUAGCGAAGGCAGCAUAACUACGCGAUAA